rnacentral:siRNA from 1 species
UGAGGUAUCCUGAUGGAUCUGUCC